rnacentral:lncRNA from 1 species
UAGAUUGAGAGUUGUCGUGGAAGCCUAAUUGUUCUUUGUUAACUCUAUCAUUUAUUCUAUAGACCUUUUAUGCAAUCCAUUGUUUAGCGGCCAUCAUUUUGGGCUAUCAAGAGAGUGGAGAUGGUGGAGCAUAAGAUUCACAAGAUAGAGUGAGGGAGAGCUAUGACUAAGUGAGAUCAUGCUAUUGCCUAGGAUGCCAAAGAGAGCACCAAGAAAACAGACUCAUAUCGC